AGGAUAAACGCUGGCGGCGUGCCUUACGCAUGCAAGUCGAACGGCGCUUCUUUCGGGGGGCGCAGUGGCGGACGGGUGAGUAACACGUGCGUGACCUAACGUGUGGUGGGGGAUACCCGUCCGAAAGGGCGGCUAAGACCGCAUACGCACCCCGGGGGUGCCCGGGGCGGAAAAGGGCUUCGGUCCUGCCGGACGAGGGGCGCGCGGCCGAUUAGCUAGUUGGCGGGGUAAGGGCUCACCAAGGCGAUGAUCGGUAGCUGGGCUGAGAGGCCGAACAGCCACACUGGGACUGAGACACGGCCCAGACUCCUACGGGAGGCAGCAGCGAGGAAUUUGCGCAAUGGGCGAAAGCCUGACGCAGCAACGCCGCGUGGGCGAUGACGGCCUUCGGGUUGUAAAGCCCUUUGUCGGGGACGACGACGACGGUACCCGACGAAGAAGCCACGGCUAACUACGUGCCAGCAGCCGC
rnacentral:rRNA from 1 species